rnacentral:rRNA from 1 species
GCGACGUUGGGUAGGGGAACCGCGGUAACAAAUAGGGGGGGGUCUUUAAUUGGAAUUACUGGGCGUAAAUCGCACUGCGGUGGCGUGCACAGUCGAGUGUGAAAUCCCCGGGCUCAACCUGGGAACUGCAGUCGAGACGGCUUUGCUCGAGGAUGGGAGAGGGAGGUGGAAUGUCCGGUGUAGCGGUGAAAUGCGUAGAUAUCGGAAGGAACAUCAGUGGCGAAAGCGACCUCCUGGACCAAUACUGACACUCAAGUGCGAAAGCGUGGGGAGCAAACAGGAUUAGAUACCCUAGUAGUC